AAAAAAGGUAAGCUACUAAGAGCGAAUGGUGGAUGCCUUGACUGGUAAAGGCGAUGAAGGACGUACUAGACUGCGAUAAGCUACGGGGAGCUGUCAAGAAGCUUUGAUCCGUAGAUUUCCGAAUGGGGCAACCCAAUGUAUAGAGAUAUACAUUACCUAUAUAGGAGCGAACGAGGGGAAUUGAAACAUCUUAGUACCCUCAGGAAAAGAAAUCAAUAGAGAUUGCGUCAGUAGCGGCGAGCGAAAGCGCAAGAGGGCAAACCCAGUGCUUGCACUGGGGGUUGUAGGACUGCAAUGUGCAAGAGCUGAGUUUAGCAGAACAUUCUGGAAAGUAUAGCCAUAGAGGGUGAUAGUCCCGUAUGCGAAAAACAAAGCUUAGCUAGCAGUAUCCUGAGUAGGGCGGGACACGAGGAAUCCUGUCUGAAUCCGGGUCGACCACGAUCCAACCCUAAAUACUAAUACCAGAUCGAUAGUGCACAAGUACCGUGAGGGAAAGGUGAAAAGAACUGAGGUGAUCAGAGUGAAAUAGAACCUGAAACCAUUUGCUUACAAUCAUUCAGAGCACUAUGUAGCAAUACAGUGUGAUGGACUGCCUUUUGCAUAAUGAGCCUGCGAGUUGUGGUGUCUGGCAAGGUUAAGCAAACGCGAAGCCGUAGCGAAAGCGAGUCUGAAUAGGGCGCUUAGUCAGAUGCUGCAGACCCGAAACGAAGUGAUCUAUCCAUGAGCAAGUUGAAGCUAGUGUAAGAACUAGUGGAGGACUGAACCCAUAGGCGUUGAAAAGCCCCGGGAUGACUUGUGGAUAGGGGUGAAAGGCCAAUCAAACUUCGUGAUAGCUGGUUCUCUCCGAAAUAUAUUUAGGUAUAGCGUUGUGUCGUAAUAUAAGGGGGUAGAGCACUGAAUGGGCUAGGGCAUACACCAAUGUACCAAACCCUAUCAAACUCCGAAUACCUUAUAUGUAAUCACAGCAGUCAGGCGGCGAGUGAUAAAAUCCGUCGUCAAGAGGGAAACAACCCAGACUACCAGCUAAGGUCCCUAAAUCUUACUUAAGUGGAAAACGAUGUGAAGUUACUUAAACAACCAGGAGGUUGGCUUAGAAGCAGCCAUCCUUUAAAGAAAGCGUAAUAGCUCACUGGUCUAGUGAUUUUGCGCGGAAAAUAUAACGGGGCUAAAGUAAGUACCGAAGCUGUAGACUUGCGCACAACUUAGAUUAUUUAAGUUUAGAAUAUGAGAAACUAAGUUAUGUUUAGUUAUAUUUUUACUGAUUUUUAUAGAGUAAAGAUAGAAAUAAAACUUAGUAAAAUCAGUAAAAAUAUUCUUAGGCUAAAGUUAAGUAGUUUAAGUUGUGUGCAAGUGGUAGGAGAGCGUUCUAUUUGCGUCGAAGGUAUACCGGUAAGGAGUGCUGGAGCGAAUAGAAGUGAGCAUGCAGGCAUGAGUAGCGAUAAUUAAUGUGAGAAUCAUUAACGCCGUAAACCCAAGGUUUCCUACGCGAUGCUCGUCAUCGUAGGGUUAGUCGGGUCCUAAGUCGAGUCCGAAAGGGGUAGACGAUGGCAAAUUGGUUAAUAUUCCAAUACCAACAUUAGUGUGCGAUGGAAGGACGCUUAGGGCUAAGGGGGCUAGCGGAUGGAAGUGCUAGUCUAAGGUCGUAGGAGGUUAUACAGGCAAAUCCGUAUAACAAUACUCCGAGAACUGAAAGGCUUUUUGAAGUCUUCGGAUGGAUAGAAGAACCCCUGAUGCCGUCGAGCCAAGAAAAGUUUCUAAGUUUAGCUAAUGUUGCCCGUACCGUAAACCGACACAGGUGGGUGGGAUGAGUAUUCUAAGGCGCGUGGAAGAACUCUCUUUAAGGAACUCUGCAAAAUAGCACCGUAUCUUCGGUAUAAGGUGUGGUUAGCUUUGUAUUAGGAUUUACUCCGAAAGCAAGGAAACUUACAACAAAGAGUCCCUCCCGACUGUUUACCAAAAACACAGCACUCUGCUAACUCGUAAGAGGAUGUAUAGGGUGUGACGCCUGCCCGGUGCUCGAAGGUUAAUUGAUGGGGUUAGCAUUAGCGAAGCUCUUGAUCGAAGCCCGAGUAAACGGCGGCCGUAACUAUAACGGUCCUAAGGUAGCGAAAUUCCUUGUCGGUUAAAUACCGACCUGCAUGAAUGGCGUAACGAGAUGGGAGCUGUCUCAAAGAGGGAUCCAGUGAAAUUGUAGUGGAGGUGAAAAUUCCUCCUACCCGCGGCAAGACGGAAAGACCCCGUGGACCUUUACUACAGCUUGACACUGCUACUUGGAUAAGAAUGUGCAGGAUAGGUGGGAGGCUUUGAGUAUAUGACGCCAGUUGUAUAUGAGCCAUUGUUGAGAUACCACUCUUUCUUAUUUGGGUAGCUAACCAGCUUGAGUUAUCCUCAAGUGGGACAAUGUCUGGUGGGUAGUUUGACUGGGGCGGUCGCCUCCCAAAUAAUAACGGAGGCUUACAAAGG
rnacentral:rRNA from 1 species